rnacentral:rRNA from 1 species
UACGAAGGGGGCUAGCGUUGUUCGGAAUCACUGGGCGUAAAGGGCGCGUAGGCGGCUUUGUAAGUCGGGGGUGAAAGCCUGUGGCUCAACCACAGAAUUGCCUUCGAUACUGCAUGGCUUGAGACCGGAAGAGGUAAGUGGAACUGCGAGUGUAGAGGUGAAAUUCGUAGAUAUUCGCAAGAACACCAGUGGCGAAGGCGACUACCUGGCCUGUUCUUGACGCUGAGGCGGCGAAAGCUAGGGGAGCAAACGGG